UACGUAGGGAGCGAGCGUUGUCCGGAUUUACUGGGUGUAAAGGGUGCGUAGGCGGCAAUGCAAGUCAGGCGUGAAAGCUCGGGGCUUAACCCCGAAACUGCGCUUGAAACUGUGUUGCUUGAGUGAAGUAGAGGUAGGCGGAAUUCCCGGUGUAGCGGUGAAAUGCGUAGAGAUCGGGAGGAACACCAGUGGCGAAGGCGGCCUACUGGGCUUUAACUGACGCUGAGGCACGAAAGCAUGGGUAGCAAACAGG
rnacentral:rRNA from 1 species